AGGCAUGGUGGGGCCACUGAUUUAACUUAUCUUUGAAUCUUUCCCAAACUUGAUAGAACGUUUCAUUGUCUUUUUGGAAAAAUGUUGAAAUAUGUAUUUUUAGACU